AAUAAAAAUCUCCUGCAAGCAGGACUCGACAAGUUUGGCAUACAAAAUUGAUUUGUUUCAAAAUAAGCUUUAUCAGUUUCAUAGUAUUCUUUGACAAUUUGUAGGAAAGGUUCAAUAGUAUUUCUUUUAUAUAAACAACCUAGAACUCUUGAGUUGCAGAUCCUCUGUUUAAUUGAGAAAGGAUCUUGGGGGUUAUGGCCCAAAUGUUGCAUUGGAUUGUUAAAAUAUGUAGCAUUUUUUCUGAAAGUACAUAAUUUGUAUAUUUUAUGUGAUCAGUGACUCUCUUAUUUUUUUCAGUAUAUUUUUGGAGAUUUUAGCCCUGAUGAAUUCAAUCAAUUCUUUGUGACUCCUCGAUCUUCAGUUGAGCUUCCUCCAUACAGUGGAACAGUUCUGUGUGGCACACAGGCUGUGGAUAAACUACCCGAUGGACAAGAAUAUCAGAGAAUUGAGUUUGGUGUCGGUGAAGUCAUUGAACCCAGUGACACUUCGCCGAGAACCCCCAGCUACAGUAUUUCAAGCACACUGAACCCUCAGGCCCCUGAAUUUAUUCUCGGUUGUACAGCUUCCAAAAUAAC
rnacentral:sRNA from 1 species